rnacentral:misc_RNA from 1 species
CACCCCUCAAGCCUGGCUUGGUCUUGGAGGCCGCCCCGCCCCGCGCGGAGCCCCUCUCAAACGCAACCCGACGUGCCUACAUGGACGGAGCGCAGCAACAUGUUGCUCCCCCUGGCACGGCGGCGGCUCUCCGGAGCGACUUCUC